rnacentral:lncRNA from 13 species
UGACCUUUGCACGGUGGAAAUCUUACUUAGCUAUUCAUCAAUGUUUUCUUGAUUUAUAUCAGAUAACAUUAUAAAACUGAUACUUCUAUGAAUCAUGACAAGCAAAUAGAUGUCUGCAUAUGUUUCUUCUUAUUUAUAAACUAAAUAUCCAUUAAACCUUUGGUAUAGAAAAAGCACUGUAGUAUUCUAAAGGCAAACUACUUUAACGGCAAAACACUGUACUCUAGAGUCAAAUGAGAUCCCUGUGCCUGUCUGGGACUUAUCAUCUAUAUUAGAUAGAUGGCAUAUAUAUGAUAUACAUAUAUUAUAUAUAUCAUAUAUAUUAUAUAUAUAAAACAUAUAUAUAUAUAUAUAUAUAUAUGCCAAGCAUCACUCAGGUGGAAGGGUAAUACAAAGUAUGAUAAGAUAUAGUUCCCAGAUUUUGGUUAGUUUAGAGUCUGAUAUAGGGAAAUGAACAUGAAAUAGACUUCUACCAUAUGGCCCAUAUCCUCACAGGGCAGAAACAAAGGCAUCUGAACACACAGGCAGUAGAGGGCAAACCACAAAUGAGGCUGCUUUCAAAAACAUCAUGACCCAUUUGGAGAAGUAUAUUUAGUAUGAAAAUAUUCAUGGCUUUAUGUAAACCUGGACUUCCUUCAGCAGUUCCAGGCACUAUUCCUCUUAUAUAGGACAGAUUUAUACAGACCCAGGAGAAAUUCAAACAUAUUGCUUAGAUUCAGUCACCAGAUUAUGGUUCUAACUAACCCAGUUAGCACAGCCACACAUUCUGACUUCCUUAUAUCCAGAAAUAAAACCCCAGGGAUUGAGCUAAUCCAGGACUUCUACACACCCAGCCAUUGAUAGGACUAGCUCUGUGAACUUAAAUGCUUUAUUUCACUUUUCUGAACUGUAAAAUGAUGGUAAUAUAUUACAUGCCAUUAUGUCUAUCAUUGAAACAGAGAUACACAACAUACAAGCUUCAUACUCAAGCCUUUCAAGUGUUUCUGAGAAGAAACUAAAUCUUUGAAUAAUACCCUGAUGCUGAGUUUCUUUAUUGAGCCUUCAGUACAAUUGAGAAGAAAGCUGGUUUGGUUUGGUCACUUAAAGAUGAUCAAGUUGCUGGACAAAUGUUUGUUGAAUGAAUGACAAUAAUGCAUGAACAUAA